rnacentral:misc_RNA from 1 species
AUUGCCUUAGUUUUUCGUAUUGCAUUUCAAUUAAAUAAAAUUCAAAAAAAAAAAUCAUUUCAAUACAAAAAGUUAAUAUUUAUAAAUACAACCAUAGAUGUUUAAUAUUUAUAUGUUUCCCCAUGUUUCCAUUUCCUACAUUUUUAGAAAUGCCAUUUCCCCAGGUCCAAUAAUGCAUUUCCACAUAUCGGCAUUUCCAUUUCCAUGCUACAUAGAUUGUCAUCUGUUACCAUGCAAAACCUUUUGGGCAUUGGUAUCGUGGCAUUUACUUGAAGUUGCCACAUCAGACACUAACCUGUGCUAGCACCAACGUUUUUAAAUAUACCAAUAUGUCACAAAUCACAAUAGUUAAAACAGGGAAUUAGGACAUUAUUAACAGAGAAAACUGAUUUCACAUUCAUAAGUAAUUGGUGAACCAGCCCGUAUUGGAUUACAUAAACCAAUACAUACUACAGCAUAGUGGUCAAUACGCCUAUAAAACCUGACAAACAUGGUUUUUUGGCCAUCAAUCCAAUUCCCAAUAACAGUUCUCCUCCCUUUCUUUGAUUUCAACCUCCAAGAACCUAAUUUGAUAUCAAAAUACUUCCAUUUCUCUUGAUUUCUCAAGGAUUUGCCAUGGCUUACUCUAAAAGUCUUUUGCAAAAUAAGGUGCUCCUUUAGUCCGUUUUAGGAUGUGUUUGGCUAUGAUUUUGUUUAAAACAACUAUAAUUGUUAGAUAUAAAAGAUUAUGAUGAUAUUUAGCAAGUAUCUUAAACUGCAAAACUAUGCAUAUUUAGUUAAACUACUGUUUCAUAUUGAUUUGAGUAAUUUUGUUAAUUCAAAACAAAAAAAGGAGUGUCACUGAAUAGAUUUUGAUACAUCCAAACACUUCAAACAGCAAUUGCUGCCAUUGUCUAAAAACCCCAGCUAGCAUGCCCCCUAAUCCCUAUAUUAAUGUGCAGAAUUAAAUUAUCAUUUUCGGAUUGCUAAAACGCUACCAGUUUGCACUCUAUCAUUUGCUGUAAGUAUCAAAUUAAAAUAGUUAUCCAAUAUUGUUAUGAGAGUCGAUCCCUUAGAAGUUCUGUAUAUUAAGGUUUCCCAGCUAGAUGACGAUUCCUAGUUAGCAUAGACUUCCCAUCCAAUGUAGUAGUCUCACGUGCGUG